rnacentral:rRNA from 1 species
UUCGGGAAACCGGAGCUAAUACCGGAUAAUAUAUUGAACCGCAUGGUUCAAUAGUGAAAGACGGUUUUGCUGUCACUUAUAGAUGGAUCCGCGUCGCAUUAGCUAGUUGGUAAGGUAACGGCUUACCAAGGCAACGAUGCGUAGCCGACCUGAGAGGGUGAUCGGCCACACUGGAACUGAGACACGGUCCAG